rnacentral:rRNA from 1 species
UACGAAGGGGGCUAGCGUUGUUCGGAUUUACUGGGCGUAAAGCGCACGUAGGCGGCUCGUUACGUCGGGGGUGAAAUCCUGGAGCUCAACUCCAGAACUGCAUUCGAUACUGGCGAUCUUGAGUCCGGAAGAGGUGAGUGGAACUCCUAGUGUAGAGGUGGAAUUCGUAGAUAUUAGGAAGAACACCAGUGGCGAAGGCGGCUCACUGGUCCGGUACUGACGCUGAGGUGCGAAAGCGUGGGGAGCAAACAGG